AGCAUAUCAAUAAGCGGAGGAAAAGAAACCAACAGGGAUUGCCCCAGUAACGGCGAGUGAAGCGGCAACAGCUCAAAUUUGAAAUCUGGCUUCGGCCCGAGUUGUAAUUUGUAGAGGAUGCUUUUGGUGCGGUGCCUUCUGAGUUCCCUGGAACGGGACGCCAGAGAGGGUGAGAGCCCCGUAUAGUUGGACACCAAGCCCUUGUAAAGCUCCUUCGACGAGUCGAGUAGUUUGGGAAUGCUGCUCUAAAUGGGAGGUAUAUCUCUUCUAAAGCUAAAUAUAGGCCAGAGACCGAUAACGCACAAGUAGAGUGAUCGAAAGAUGAAAAGCACUUUGAAAAGAGGGUUAAAUAGUACGUGAAAUUGUUGAAAGGGAAGGGCUUGUGACCAGACUUGUGCCGGGCUGAUCAUCCACGGUUCUCCGUGGUGCACUCUGCCCGGCUCAGGCCAGCGUCGGUUCUGGCAGGGGGACAAAAGCUUAGGGAACGUGGCUCCUCCGGGAGUGUUAUAGCCCUCUGCUCAAUACCCUUGCCGGGACCGAGGUUCGCGCUCUGCAAGGACGCUGGCAUAAUGGUCAUCAGCCACCCGUCU
rnacentral:rRNA from 1 species